rnacentral:rRNA from 1 species
UACGUAGGGUGCGAGCGUUGUCCGGAACUAUUGGGCGUAAAGGGCUCGUAGGCGGUCUGUCACGUCGGGAGUGAAAACUCAGGGCUUAACCCUGAGCCUGCUUCCGAUACGGGCAGACUAGAGGUAUGCAGGGGAGAAUGGAAUUCCUGGUGUAGCGGUGAAAUGCGCAGAUAUCAGGAGGAACACCGGUGGCGAAGGCGGUUCUCUGGGCAUUACCUGACGCUGAGGAGCGAAAGUGUGGGGAGCGAACAGG